UACGGGGGGGGCAAGCGUUGUUCGGAAUUACUGGGCGUAAAGGGCUCGUAGGCGGCCAACUAAGUCAGACGUGAAAUCCCUCGGCUUAACCGGGGAACUGCAUCUGAUACUGGAUGGCUUGAGUUCGGGAGAGGGAUGCGGAAUUCCAGGUGUAGCGGUGAAAUGCGUAGAUAUCUGGAGGAACACCGGUGGCGAAGGCGGCAUCCUGGACCGACACUGACGCUGAGGAGCGAAAGCCAGGGGGAGCAAACGGG
rnacentral:rRNA from 1 species